GAUCCUGGCUCAGGAUGAACGCUAGCUACAGGCUUAACACAUGCAAGUCGAGGGGCAUCAGUUUGGUUUGCUUGCAAACCAAAGCUGGCGACCGGCGCACGGGUGAGUAACACGUAUCCAACCUGCCUCAUACUCGGGGAUAGCCUUUCGAAAGAAAGAUUAAUGCCCGAUGGUUUCAAGGGAUUGCAUGGUAUCUUGAAUAAAGAUUCAUCGGUAUGCGAUGGGGAUGCGUUCCA
rnacentral:rRNA from 1 species